GCACUCCAGACAGGGGAGAGGCAAGCACAGGUGUCACUUGACAGGACCAUUAACAAAAUGGAUGACCCUCCCAAACCAAUCCAGCCCCUGCCACACCAGCAAGGUCACGGCGCCCUGAUCACCACUCUGGAUAGCUCUUUGGGACAAUACGCCUAUUUUUCUCCUUUAGAAACCAGAGCCAGGCACUUGUCUGAGAGAGGACAGACUUACUUUCAUGUUCUUGCUUUUCUUAUGUCAUUUAUGAAGUAGUCUAGACAAAAUAGGUCAAGGAUGCAGUGCAUUUCUUUUGGAACUUGCAGAGUUGUGGUGCUAGAGAUGUAGUGGAUUAUGUUGCCCCCUAAAGUUGUGCAGGUGAAACACAGGUGAAAAAUGAAGCGAUCGUCACUGUUUUCUUGCUUUUGAUGCACAUCUAUGCAGCUGCUGGGAUGCUGUUUUACAAACUAUGCACAGAGACCUGGUUACACCGGCCUGAAUCUGAAGAUGAUUCACACUUGGAGGUCACGCAGAGGGGAGAACUUUCAAUCUUGUCGGGAGGGUGGUGGAAUUAAUUCCACUGUUGCCAGUUUACACUCGUUCAUCAAAUGCCUCACUAUUCUCCCUAUCCCGGCGCUCAUCAAUCUCCUACAUCUAUCUUCUCUCCCCCCACACACACUCUCACAGCUGAGUCAACACCCACACACUCCAUUUAUGUCGCCUCCGCAAGACUCUGUGUGUGUGUGUGUGUGUGUGUGUGUGUGUGUGUGUCACUGAUCUUUUGUUCACAGAGUGCUUACACAAAUGUCCCUUUCACCAAAAAUGGAGAUUUUUUUAAAUAAGGGUACAGUUGACGAUAUUUUCCAGCAUAACUAAAUAUCUCUGUUCUGAAACAAAACAGUGCACGCCUUUAUACUCUGAGAUAUGUGCAGACACGUACACGUAAGCUCAAAAUGAUCAUGUAUGAAUGAGUAAUAACUCUUUCUUAUGCUUGUCAGCACAUGCACAUAUGUAAAUGACUGUAAAAACAACAAAAAGAAAAAAGAAAAAAAAUAUUUAGAUUUAAAUUUCAUCACACUAAAAAUAAUGAAAUGAAGCGACUUUGAGAAUGUUUUUAAGAGUUACAUUUGUAAAAAAAGAACUGAGUUAAUUUAUUUCUUCUGAAACACUAUCUGACUCUGGUGGGUUGAGUGUGUCUUUACUGUGGUACUCCACAGUAAAAAUAUAGCAAUUUUCCAAGUAAUUUAACCCGUUUUUAAAGUAAAUAUGACAAAUAUAAAUUUAUUCUGCUGAAUUUCUGCUCUGCUUAAUCUUUGUUGCGCUUGAUUAAAAAUAAUACUUUUCUUGUUUUUCUAAAGAGGGUGACUCCGUCCUCUAUAGACUCCCAUGUAGAAAUGUCUGUCUUUACAGCAGAUCUGCAGCCUGGUUAAGACAAAAAAUAUUCCAGUUAGUGAACUGGAGCCCAUGUUUGUCACAUUUGUACCUGUAGGAGUAUUUUCAUUGGGUCUAUCCAUAUGUCAUAUCAGCACUUGCGUGGUACGCACUUUUCAAAAAGUGAAAUUAUAGUGUUUUAUUAGUUUGCUACUUAGGACUAAUUAGCAAGUAUGUACAGUUUAUGGAUGCCAUUUGCUAACCAAGCUAGCCAGUAUUAGCUGCAAUCUUAGCACUCCACCCUUUCAUCCAAAUGAAUGAAAGGCAGUCACCUAUGGUUGUAAAUUAAUUGAUAAAAAGAAAAUGUAAUUACAAUGGCAAGUUUCAAAAUGUG
ensembl:lncRNA